CCUACGGGUGGCUGCAGUGGGGAAUAUUGCACAAUGGGGGAAACCCUGAUGCAGCGACGCCGCGUGAGUGAAGAAGUAAUUCGUUAUGUAAAGCUCUUUCAGCAGGGAAGAAAAUGACGGUACCUGAGUAAGAAUCCCCGGCUAACUACGUUCCAGCAGCCGCGGUAAUACGGAGGGGGCAAGCGUUAUCCGGAUUUACUGGGGGUAAAGGGAGCGUAGACGGCAGUGCAAGCCUGGAGUGAAAGGCUGGGGCUCAACCCCCGGACUGCUGUGGAAACUGUACGGCUGGAGUGCAGGAGAGGUAAGUGGAAUUCGUAGUGUAGCGGUGAAAUGCGUAGAUAUUAGGAGGAACCCCAGUUGCGAAGGCGGCUUACUGGACUGUAACUGACGUUGAUGCUCGAAAGCGUGGGGAGCGAACAGGAUUAGAUACCCCGGUAGUC
rnacentral:rRNA from 1 species